UAUCAUCGCCACCUGCCACUAAGUACAUAUGGCAAUGUUUAUCUAUGUGGCUGCAGUGAUCAUUACCUUGUCAGCAUGGUGUGGUGGGGAAAGUGUAACACAACUCCAAUCGGUUGUGACAGUGACUGAAGGGGAGGAUGUUUCUCUGCAGUGUAAUUAUACAGCUACAGGCGGCAUCAGUGACUAUCUGUUCUGGUACCGACACUCUUUCAACAAAGCUCCAGAAUAUAUCCUUCGCACAGACACCAACAACAGGAUCAAACACGAGGCCGACUUUGCAAAAGAACGUUUCUCAACGAAUGUGUCUAAAGCGGAGAGAACCGUCCCAUUAAAUAUAUUGCACGUGAGAGUUACGGACUCCGCGGGGUAUUACUGUGCACUGAGCCCCACAGGGGCACAGAUCAGCGAUUCCACCCUACAAAAACUGCCAUGUGGAACCCUGUAG